UACAGAGGUCUCGAGCGUUAGUCGGAAUCACUGGGCGUAAAGCGCACGUAGGCGGAUCUUUAAGUCAGGGGUGAAAUCCUGGAGCUCAACUCCAGAACUGCCUUUGAUACUGGGGAUCUCGAGUCCGGAAGAGGUGAGUGGAACUCCGAGUGUAGAGGUGAAAUUCGUAGAUAUUCGGAAGAACACCAGUGGCGAAGGCGGCUCACUGGUCCGGUACUGACGCUGAGGUGCGAAAGCGUGGGAAGCAAACAGG
rnacentral:rRNA from 1 species